ACCAUCUGUUUUACUUUUUACCAUCAAUUGUACCAUCUUUCUAAUAGAGAUGAGACCCACAUAUGUUGGUGGGUUUUACAUCUAUUAGAGAGAUGAUACAAAUAGAUGAUAAAUAUACUACUCUAGAGAAGAUACUUAAAAUGAUCAGAAUGAUAAAAAGAGCAUGAAAUGAGUGCAUGAUGAUUUUUUUUUUCGCAAUUAAUAUUUCUCAAAACAAAUUCCUCAUGUUUGAAGAUAUAUAAGUAUAAUAUUUCUCAGUAACAAAGCUGAUGGUAAAGAUUUGAUUGCAGGAGGCAUACGAGGUGUUUAAGAGAAGAGUAACAGAAAAUGCAAGGAUUGAGGACGCCAGGAGCAACAUGCGUCGAGAUCACUCUGCAGUCAUUGAGGUAAUACAAGAAACGUCCAGUGAAGGUGAUGAUGCAAUUAAAACAAAUGAAGCAAAAAAUAUGCCUCUCCUUGUUUAUGUUUCUCGAGAAAAGACCCUCUCAUCCCCAUCAUUUCAAGGCUGGGGCGCUCAAUGUUCUUCUACGUGUGUCGGGAGUUAUAAGCAAUUCACCUUACAUAUUAGGGUUAGAUUGUGACAUGUACUGCAAUGAUGCAAGUUCGGCUCGGCAAGCAAUGUGCUUCCAUCUUGACCCUAAGAUAUCACCCUCUCUAGCAUUUGUUCAAUUCCCUCAUAAAUUUCACAACAUCAGUAUCAACGAUAUCUAUGACAGUCAGUUGAGAUCAAUAUUUACGUUGCAAUGGCAAGGUUAUGAUGGGCUUGGAGGGCCCUGUGUGUGUGGUAGCUACUACAUCAAGAGGGUGGCGUUAUGUGGAAGUUCCAUUAGUGAAGAUGGGGAUGCAAUGAAACUUAGACAAUGUUUUGGUCCAUCCAAGCAGUUCAUCAAAUCCCUCCGCCAAAUCAACAAGCCUGACCAUAUGUUCAUCCCGAGAAAUAAUGCACAGCUAAAUGAAAGCCCACGACUAGCCUCUUGUGCCUAUGAAGAUGGCACCAAAUGGGGUAAAGAGGCAAGUACAAUUAAACCAUUGGAAGCUUACAUUUCACUCCCAAAUUGAAAGAUAAAUUUAUUAAAAUAAUUAUGGAGGUGACUGAGCCUAGCAUUCCUCUAAUGCUAAUGGUGAUAUCUUACUCUUAUUUGUGGCAUGCAAGUUGGUUUCUUAUACGGUUCAGUGGUGGAAGAUUACUUCACAGGGUUUCAUUUGCAUUACAAAGGUUGGAUUUCAGUGUUUUGUGAUCCAAAAAGGCCACAAUUCUUGGGUAGCGGCACCACCAAAUUGGAUGAGUUUUUGGUCCAAGGGACAAGAUGGUUCCUCUGGCUUAGUUGAUGUUGCUAUCUCCAAGUUCAGUCCUCUUAUAUAUGGCCCUUUCAAAACCCACACUUUCCUUCAAAGCAUGUGUUAUGCAGAAAUUGCUCUCUUACCCAUUUUCUAUUUCUUGACACUCUGGUGCUUUGCUAUCAUUCCUCAAGUGUGUCUACUCAAUAGCAUUCCUUUGUACCCCGAGGUCUCAAAUACGUAUUUUAUCGUAUUUUCAUUUGUAUUCCUAUCAUUGCUCUCUAAACAUUUAUAUGAGGUGCUAGCAACAGGAUCAACAUUUCGACAUUGGGUAAAUGAACAGAGAAUAUGGAUGAUGAAGUCAGUCACAUCUCACUUAUAUGGUAGUGUGGAUGCUUUCAUGAAGAAACUU